AGCACCUAAGUUGCAUAGUUACAGCUGAGGGGGGGUGGAUGGCGUAGUGGUAAGCGCUGUUCAUGGAAUGCUUUCUCAAGUAGGCACUUGGUGUUGGGGCCACCACUGCUGAGACAAGAAGGUAGUGGGUUCGAAUCCCACCUUCUCCAAAAGGAUAUUAUCACAUCUUGGUGGAUAUUAGGGGUACCCUUUCUUAUCUCAUUUCUAUUGGUAACUGCCACUGCAGGGUGGAGCAAUGUUCAACACUAUGUAUAUAGUCUAGAUGGAUUCAGUAUAGUGUGGGAUCCUAAGAUGUUGUGAUUCUUACAUGUCUAGUCCAAGUGACAAGGGACUGCUUAGUAUUGCGUGAGCAAUUGUGGGGCAAGGCCCCCCUUGAGGGCUAGAUCCAGAAUGGUAUAGUGAAGUCUCUCCAUCAAGGAUGACUCAGUUAUGGAUAGAGAAAUGUAACUAGAGAGUAGCCGAACAUAAGGGUAGGCUAGUGAGGUGAAGGCUGUCAUAGUCUCAGACUGCAUAUGGCCUUAGAAAAAAUAUGAACAACAACAACAACAACAACAACAUAGUUACAGCUGAACCAUACCAACGCUUGGCCAACAACUAUGAGUGCGAGCAGACCUCACUAAAACACACUGGCCAUGCAUCAUUAUUCCCGGUGCUCUUGAAUGGCUAAUAUAGUCAUAAAGGAUGUGAAUGUUUCGCCUCUGCUAAAGAAACAUACUUGAACUUGGAAUGAAAGCUGCCAAAUCUACAGCGGAUAGAAUUCUACUGCCUCUUAGUUAUAACCAGA
rnacentral:sRNA from 1 species